rnacentral:tRNA from 1 species
AGUAGGGUAAGCUAACUAAGCUACCGGGCCCAUACCCCGAAAAUGCCACACUGGCCCCUACUA